AUUGAACGCUGGCGGCAUGCUUUACACAUGCAAGUCGAACGGUAACAGGCCGCAAGGUGCUGACGAGUGGCGAACGGGUGAGUAAUGCAUCGGAACGUGCCCAGUCGUGGGGGAUAACGCAGCGAAAGCUGUGCUAAUACCGCAUACGAUCUAUGGAUGAAGGCGGGGGACCGAAAGGCCUCGCGCGAUUGGAGCGGCCGAUGUCAGAUUAGGUAGUUGGUGGGGUAAAGGCCUACCAAGCCAACGAUCUGUAGCUGGUCUGAGAGGACGACCAGCCACACUGGGACUGAGACACGGCCCAGACUCCUACGGGAGGCAGCAGUGGGGAAUAUUGCACAAUGGGCGGAAGCCUGAUGCAGCGACGCCGCGUGAGGGAUGACGGCCUUCGGGUUGUAAACCUCUUUCAGCAGGGACGAAGCGUAAGUGACGGUACCUGCAGAAGAAGCACCGGCUAACUACGUG
rnacentral:rRNA from 1 species